UUAACACUGACGUAGCUAGUUUACAUUAUGGAGGUUUUACGUCCACCUCUUAUCAACAUAAAUGGAAGAAUAUACCGAAGAAAUAUAAUUAAGGAGGAACAUUAUGAGGAAGAAGAAGAUUUCUCUCAAAUGGGACCACCAGAGAGUGAAGACCUUGCAGCAGAUGAAACCUGUGAUACCCACUUCAUAGAACAGACUGAUAAAGGAUACCGCUGUGCCGUCGAUGUCCCAAGUGUUCUUUAUAAAUACAUCAUUGGCAAGAAAGGAGAGACACGCAGACGUCUGGAGUUUGACACAAAGACAUCUAUCAGCAUCCCAAAACAAGGAGUGGAAGGACAGAUUGUUAUCACAGGAUCCCAUAAAGCUGCAGUCUCAUCUGCAGUCACACGAGUUGAGGUCCUUGUUGAGAGUUUCCGGAAAAAGCAGCCUUUCACGCACUUCCUGUCAUUCCCUCUGAAUGAUCCCAAAAUUCAAGAAGGAUUCCUGAGAUUUAAAGAUGAGGUGUUGCAGCAGUGUUCGCAGGAUCAUGGAGUAGAGGGAAGCAUCUUUCAGAACCCUGCGAAGCUUCACCUGACAAUCGGCACCCUGACUCUGUUAAAUGACAUGGAAGUGAGAAAAGCAGGUGCACACCUCCAAGAGUGUCAACACUUCAUAAGGGACAUCACAGAAGGAAAACCUCUGCCAUUGGAAGUGACAGGUAUAGAGUACAUGAAUGAUGACCCAGCCAUGGUGGAUGUCUUGUAUGCCAAAGUCAAUGUGAAAGACAGAUCUGACAAGUUGCAGGUGAUUGCGGACCGGCUGGUAGAGCACUUUGUCUCAGCAGGGCUGAUGCUCAGAGAUUGGGACAGAGUGAAGCUGCACGGCACUGUGAUGAACACUCUGUUCAGAAAGGACUCCACAGUUGAAGACUCGAGCGGCCCAGGAAGACAAGCCUUGAGUGAAAGAGAGGCUUUUGAUGCCAGAAACAUAUUAAAGAAAUUUGGUGCUCAUCGUUUUGGAGAGUUUGAGCUGAAUACUGCCCUGUUGUCCCAGAGGUAUUCGACAGAUUGUACAGGCUACUACACCUCUGCAGGGAGCAUCAACUUCUCAUGAGCAUCAACAGGGCUGAGCAUAUUCUGAGGGACAUGAUUAAGGAUGCGCUGGGCAGAUGUCCCCAGUUGCGAUGGUUCUGAAGGGACAUACAUCAUCCACAGACAGACUGAGACACUGAAGACAUAUUUCAUUUGUCAUCGAUGAACAUGGCAGCGGGAUGGAAAGUGUUCAGUGUGGCUGACUGAUGAAGAAACUCUCAGUUGACAGUAAAACACUGCAGGGAAACCAUCAGAUGAUGAACAUGAAUGGACUCGUGAAAGUGUUUGUUGCAUCUUUGCUGAAUCUUUUGUUGAAAUCUGUUGGAAAAUUAACAUUUGUUUGGGUAGUGUUUUCCUUCACGGUGGCAGGAGGUGCUACAUUUUCAGGUUCUGUUUAAAUCUGGCAGGAAUAAAUAAAUGUGUAAAGCAUCCACCCUUGGCCUGUUGCAAUUAAUUGUUGUGUACCAGGAAUUCCUGAAGCGAUCCUUAUGGAGUUGUUACAUCGUGUGAGAAUAUGUGCAGCCACGAUAGGCAGCGAAGCUUGUGUUGGGCCUUAUGAGCUGUUUGUAAGACAGAGAAGUGCAUUUGUAGGCAGCAAAUAUUUACAGAUAAGCAACCCUUCAAAUUUAGCUGCCUGCAGUCUUGUCUGAUGUUAUUCAAAUGAAGCUUUCCUCCCCUCAACUCUUUUUGUGUAAGCUGAGUAUGCUUGGUGAACAGGAUAGAUAUGUUUUAUCAACAUCUGCCUAGAGAGGAACAGGGGGAACUGAUGACAUCAGUUAAUCUCUUUACAAUUAAAGGCACUCUUCCACAGCGUGACUCUGAUAUGUAGAAGAUGUUAAACAAGUUGUGUGGAGCUGCUUCCAUGUUUAAAAUAUAAGAGGCUGCAUGUCACGUUUUUGUCUUGGUUGUGUGUAAGUGUACAAGUUUUGGUCAAAUCAACUCGAACACUAUUCCUCAAGCAAACAUUAGGGGACUGUUAUCAUGAGACAGUAUGUACACACUCAACAAGGAAAUAAAAAAUAAAGUCAACUCAAGCAUUAAA